CGUAGGGUGCAGGCGUUAAUCGGAAUUACUGGGCGUAAAGCGUGCGCAGGCGGUCUUUUAAGUCAGAUGUGAAAUCCCCGGGCUUAACCUGGGAACUGCGUUUGAAACUGGAAGGCUUGAGUGUGGCAGAGGGGGGUGGAAUUCCACGUGCAGCAGUGAAAUGCGUAGAGAUGUGGAGGAACACCGAUGGCGAAGGCAGCCCCCUGGGCUAACACUGACGCUCAUGCACGAAAGCGUGGGGAGCAAACAGGAUUAGAUACCCUGGUAGUCCACGCCCUAAACUAUGUCAACUGGUUGUCGGGGAAGCAAUUCCUUGGUAACGAAGCUAACGCGUGAAGUUGACCGCCUGGGGAGUACGGCCGCAAGGUUA
rnacentral:rRNA from 1 species